CUAUGUGCCUAUGUGUCUCCCUGGAUGACUGGCCAUCUGGAUGUUCAGCCAUAGGACACCUCUAGCAUGAGGAUAACAUGUGUGGUGCAAAAGAGAGAUUCGCACCCAGUGAGUACGUUACAAACCACUUGAAAUCAGAGAGCAGAUCAAGUAGAUUUAGUUGUAGAUGAUGACAGCUCUCAGUAAGCAUGCACUUAACAAGCACUUGCCAUGUCCAAGCAGAGCUGUAUGAUUUACUUUUGAGAAUUUUAAGUCAAAUCUGAAAUUGGAAUGUACUUGCACUAACCAUAUAGAUCUUGAUGCAUAAACAGAGAUACAAAUUACUAUACGAUUUCAAAGGUCACGAAUUGCAGAAUUAACUAAUAGUUACUCACACAGCAAUAGAAUUUCCAUUUAGUGAAAACAACAGUUUCCAGAAGGUGAAAUAUCAGAAAUCACCGCUACAAUUUCUUUCGAUUCGGGAUUGAUAUCUUUGCACUACCUCGAGAAGGGUUCCGUUCAGUGAUUUGGGGGCAUUCAGGUGGCUUUCAGGUGGUACUGCGAUUGGAUUACAAUGUUAUCAAGUCCAGGAGGGAGAUUGUAGCACCAUUACUAUAUAAUAUAAUUUGUCGGUUUUGAAGGAGGGGUUAUCUGGGAAAGGUUAAUAGAGGUGUCAUACAUGGAAACCAAGAACCCGACAAUGGUCCCAUCGGAGCGACGGAGUCUUAAGGGUUGACCACCUGCACCUUCUUCUUCACAGAUUUUGCCCCAUCUCAGACUUGCGCUUUGCCCCCUAUCCUCGCACAACACAUCACAACACAAGGUAAUCGCAGUCUUGUUCCAGGUGUACAAAGGACUAAAAUGAUCAACACAACCCAAGAUACGGUCAUGUGCAAGAAGAUGGUCACAUGCAUUAAACAAUCUAAAUCAUUAUAUCGUUGAGUUGGACAAUUCUGUUCAAUGAAAAUAUAUGCUUUCAAAGAGUGCAUCAUCUGUAAACGUGUGUAACCACGCAUCCAAGAAAAAUAUCUUGAUUCUAAAGAACAAAGCACAAACAGAGUUAUUUGAGAGGUUGAGGGAAGUUAUCGUGGCAUGUUCAUUGCAUCCAUGAUCGCAUCGUAGCAGAUCCCAUGCAAAGCCAGCUGCUCGAGGCUCGCCACAGCCACUUCCAGUCUGAAUGGAAACGUAACCAACUAACGACAAGCAAUACGCUCGAUCAUCUUCUGUUAAUGAAACAAAGGUGACUUAACUAAUGAAUGUGAAGGACGACAGGAAACCAGGAACGCAGAGCACUGACAAGAGGACAGGACAAUUGCUGCAAUUCCAAGGA
rnacentral:lncRNA from 1 species